rnacentral:rRNA from 1 species
UACGUAGGGUGCGAGCGUUGUCCGGAAUUAUUGGGCGUAAAGAGCUCGUAGGCGGUUUGUUGCGUCUAUCGUGAAAACCUGCAGCUUAACUGUGGGCUUGCGGUGGAUACGGGCAGACUUGAGUUCGGUAGGGGAGACUGGAAUUCCUGGUGUAGCGGUGAAAUGCGCAGAUAUCAGGAGGAACACCGGUGGCGAAGGCGGGUCUCUAGGCCGACACUGACGCUGAGGAGCGAAAGCGUGGGGAGCGAACAGG